ACGUGAAUUAAGUAUUGUUCUUGUUUUUAUAAUGAUGCUAGUCUAAACGUUAUAUGCUACCUAGGUCUACAACGAAUACACAAUAAAGUUUGGAUGUUUAUCGGUUUUUGAAUAAUCUUUGUGGUUGAUUAAUAAAGUAAAGACUAUGUUUUCAUGUAUAUGCGUAUUUAGACUUGCUUGAUUACAUGAUUAUUAACUUCACAUGCUUCCUUGUUGAAUGUCUUUCAGUUAUAGGUUCAUGUUAGAUCAAUAACUCUGUGUUUUUCAUUAGUUUAUGGUUUGCUAGACGUAGUAUCCAUAGAAGUUAUAAUCGUGAAUUGAGUAGGUAUAGGUAUUCAACUAAUCUAAAUAUUUGUGAGGUGAGAGAUUAUCGGCCUGUCUAGGUUGUUAGAUUGGUAUACUUUGUGAGAAGAUUGCCUUAGUUUACCUUAUCGAAUCGAAGCAGUGGCUUCUUCUUCUUCUUCUUCGUCACAUGACCUUGCUCAACGUCUUUAUGACAAGGUUGAAAUUCAAGUUAGGAAGAUUUACUUUGUAAAUAGGGCUGCAACUGUGCUUCCGAUAAACGUUGAGGAUGCUGCCAGAAGUGAAGUUGAAAUUGAGAAGGCUUUGUAGGUUUAAGGGUGUGAUGAUGACCUGGUAGUCAUCAGUUCGGUUCCUACUGCCUCCAUCAUCCGCUGAUUUCAUCUUCAUUCUGCUAUGUUCGUUUGUAUUCAUCUUGAUUCUGGUAUGUUCGGUUCCUAAUCGGACUCGAACGCCAAAUAAUCGCCUUUUUAACCCUAAUCGGACUCCAGUCGCCGUCCGCCGCUGGCCGCUGUUGUUGUUAUACAUUUGCGGUUGCCGCUUAUCAGCUCCAUCUUUAUAGGUUUAGCCUUUUUUUUACAUUUUUAUUACGUUUUACUUUCAUACCAGUCUUAUUGGUAACAUCGCAGGUGAAAUACGAAACUUUUGUUUUGGAGAUCAAAGGUUCAGUUUAAAAUUCAUAUUUAGAAUUGUUUGUAGUUUCUGAACCCAAAAUAUGGAUGCAUUGUUCCUCUGCUUCUGAUGAAUGAUGAUUGUACACACGAUCAGACUUUGAAGGUAACUUAAUUUUAUUUUUUUUUCGUUAUUCUGCAUAUACGUGUGUAAUAAAGCUGUGUUUUUUUCCUGUCAUAUAGCUUCUUUUGGUAUUCUUGUAUCUUUGAUUGACAUAAAAGAAUGGCUUUUAAAGUUGGUAUUAAUUUAAUUGAUAGUUUGGUUUAGUCGCCGAUAGUUUGGUUCAUUGCAGUUCCAUGAUGAUGGUGUUAUAAUGUGAUUGAUUUUUUUUUGCCUUAAUAAUUUGAAUGUGAAUUGAAGUGAUGAUCAUGAAUUAGCAUAUAAUGUGAUUGGUUGUGAAUGUUUAUGCAUCUAAUUAUUUCUUUUUUCAUGUUGUUGGAUGGAACUUGACUUUUAAUACAGCCAGACUAAACCCACAUGGCUCAGUCCUUUAUGGAACCAUCAAACCAAUAAAGACAAUCAUGUUGAGUAACUCGACUUAUCUAAUCAACACUAAGAAAUGUUACACCGUUAACGGCGUUUCGUACAUUAACGCAGGCACUCCUAAGUUUUUAUGAAGGUGAUAUUAUGUAUUGCAGUUGAACAAGCAUUAUGAAUGGGUUAUUGGAACUGGAGAAGGCAAAUUUGAUGUAUUAGAUCAUGAAAAUGUCGGAUUCAAGUCAAAGGUCUAGAUGAAGUUUUUCAGUGGUGAUGAUCAAAAGAAAUUGUCGAUGUGACUUCGUUUAUUAGGCGUCCGGCUUUGUAUAAAUAUAAGUGUAGUUACUGCUGCAGAUGCGACGGGGAUUAUGAGGAGGAAUCAGGAAUCAGAGCAUCUAAACAGAGGUAUUAAUAGCUGAAACAUCUGCUUGAAUCAAUCUUAACCCACUCGAACCCUAAAGUAAAUCGUCGUCCAGUCAUCCUGUAAGCUGCUGGUUAUCUGUUUUCAAUCCUUCUCACUUGCCAAUUAAGGUAACUAAGUUGUCCGCAUCUGAUAGUUUUUUUUUUCCGGAUAAAUCAUUGGAAUGGUUACUGAUCUAAAUAUACAAUUGCGACAUAGAUAGAUAACAUUAUCUACUUCGGGAUAAUAUAUAGACUUCUCAAUUCGUUGUAUUAUCAAAUAUAAAAGUAAAUGAUUAUAUAUAGUAAAAUGUUCCGUCAAUAUGUUUUAAAUAAUGAUUUUUAUUGACAAGUAAUACAAGAGAUACUAAGGGCAGGAAGUAUAUUAUGAGUUACAUAUAGAAAGGCAUUAGAAGAUGUAGAAUUGGAAGGCUUUGUGAUGCGUUCAUGUACAUGGCCAUUUGAUGAUCAUGGGCAAGUCAAAUGUUAAAGUUAUGAUAGUCAGUUUAUUAUAAUCAAGAGAAUAUUGUAGAAGUUGACUUUUUUCUUAAGCAAAACAGAAAGUCAAAGGUAAGUGGAGUAAGAAGUAAGAACUAUUGGGUUGAGGGUGAACUCUACAAAAUCAAUGAUCGGCCACCUCAUGGAAGUCGCUGAUGCUGUGGAAGCUAUCGCAACAAUACAAGUAAUGCAAUGAAGUAAUUUGCUGUUUUGUUUUACUUAGACAUUUGUUUUGAAUCUUAACUUUUAGUUUUGGUAUGUUACAUAGGCGAUACGAACAGGUUGAGUACAUCCAAAUCUUAAUUUUAGUUUCGGGGUUUUACCUAGACCAUUUGUUUUGAAUCUUAAUUUUAGUUUCGGUAUGUUACAUAGUUUCGGUAUUUUAGUUUCGGUAGUAUGUUACAUAAGCGAUACGGUCAUACGUACUAAUCAUACUAUGUAUAGUGAUUCGUUGUUUAAUAAAAUGUGGUAUGUAAAAUUUCUAAAAUCCACCCGUGUUUGCACACGGGUUUCACAUCUAUACUAUCUAUAAUAAGAGAAGAUUGGCUGAUGUAAAUCUGUCUAUGUGUCAACAUGUUAGACGGAAGGUAAAUAUAAACUGUAUUGGUCGAUCUGGUCGUUUUGGACGGAAGGUAAAUAUAAACUGUUUUUUAAGACUAACUUUCUUUAAAUAUGUAAUUUUUAUUUUCAAAACGAAUUGCUUUCUAUUAAUGCUCAACAAAAUAUUAGAUAAGAUGCCCAUUAAUUUAGAAACUCGACAAAAUUUGUGUGCCAACCCACUUGAUCUGACCUGUUUAGCCAAUUCUACUUUUUUACUAUAUAGUUUCUUUCUUUUUGAGGUUGAGUUACAUGUUAAAAGCGGGAAAACUUAUUAGUUGGUUUUGUUUUUCACCUAAUAAAAUGAUGUUAUGUUCUUUGGCAGGUUAUUCAUGCAUGGUUAAGCCUUUUGCCAAUCAAACAAGAUCUUAUUGCGGUUAAAGGUGCUGACGAGCUACUUUGUUCACUGGCCGAAAGGUAAGUGUGAGCAAAGCUUUCUUCUGGUUCUCCUUUAAACUUUUUUUUUGUGGUGCUUCUACAAACUUUGUUGUCUAUAUCACAAGUCAGACAUGGAACUUCUGGGUCCCAACAACCGAUAUGCGCCAAAAAUUGUUUAUGUUAGUUAUCUUUGAUAGUUUUAUGCUCAAACGCUAAUGAACAUGUCAAGUAGAAGCCAGUCUUCUUCAUGUGGCAACUGCCUGUUGGGUAAUGGGUCAAAACAGGUUUGGGUCAAGCAGGUUGGAUAAUGUGAAUAUAAACGAACUAAGAGGUUGUAUACAUCAAAAGAGUAUUGUGAGUUCCCCUUUUGGCUAGAUUUUUUAUUUGACCCGUAAACCACAACCUAAAAUCCAAUUCAUAAGAAUUUACACUUUUCCAGUUACAUUAAUAAAUGAUUUUAACUUUGGUUCAGAAGAUUGAGGAUACUUUAAACUACAUAGCAAGUAUACGCAAUGAAACAAAAUCAUAUGGUAUAUGUCGGAUCAUUCCAUAUUCAUCAUGAAGACCUCCAUGCCCUCUUAAACAAAAAAACAUAGGGUGCAACUUCUUAAGAUGCCGAUUAGUUCAUAUGUUCCGUUGGAUCUUUUCCACUAAUUUUCAAUCAAUUUCGAUGUGCCAUAUGUAAGUUUUCCAAACGUUUAUAACUCUUUUAUGAUUCAUUUGUUUAAAAAAAAAACUUAUUUUUUCCACAUUCAACCUCAAAUAAGAUCGGUAGGCAAAAUACUAGUAUUGGGAUGUACUGAGUUUGUGGUUGGGACUUUUAAAUGUAUACGUAACUAAAAUGCAAAUGUGAAUUCAUCAAAUAUUUGUUCACAUGAUAGUUUACAUAUUUACAUAGACAAAAACUUUUAUCAUUAUAGUUAUUAUAAUACUAACACAUACUGUCUUUAACAUUAUUUUAUAAAGAUGUAGAACUAAAGACCAAAAUUUAAAUGAUAUAUUAUAAUCUGUUUUUUUAGUAUUUGAUUUCGAUCAUUAUUAAACCUACCCGUGUGGUUACACGGGUCCUACAACUAGUAUAUUUAUUAUGAAUGUGGUUAUCAACACCAAAAAUAGAUUAGUUUCCUCUCCAAGUUUUGUACACCUAUAUAUACCACUAUUGUAAUCAUAUCUAUCAAUGAAAUAUCAGUCUCUUUCUCCCUACAUCUCUUUCUCUUAUGGUUUGCUAUUAGGUUAGUAGGUCGUUGUUUCAC